UUUAGGAUUUGAUUUAAGAUUUAGGAUUUGGUUAUGAUUUGGUUCGGAUUUGAUUUAGGGUUUAGGAUUUAGUUAAGAUUUGAUUUAAGAUUAGAAUUUGAUUAAAAGUUGAUUUAGGAUUUGGUAAGUAUUUGAUUUAGGAUUUAAGAUUUUAUUAGGAUUUUAUUAAGGUUUUUUUAGGGUUUAUUUAGGAUUUAAGAUUUUAUUAGGAUUUUAUUAAGGUUUAUUUAGGGUUUAUUUAGGAUUUAAGAUUUAAUUAGAUUUUGGGCUAAAGUUUGAAUGAAAUAUAAUAGGAUUUUAAGUAGAAUUAAAUUAAGAUUAAAUUGAGAUUUAUUUGAGAUAUAUUUGUGAUCAUUCUAAUAUUUUUUUAAGAUUUCUUAUUAUUUCUUUGUAAUUCUUUUAAGGUUUCUUUGAAUUUGAUUAAAGCUUGUUUAACAUUGUUAGUGUUCUAUUAGAGUUAAGAUUUUGUUAUUGCAAUUUUCAUUCUAUCUUCUAUAGCCAAGUGCCUAAAGCAUUCUCAAGUAAGACUUCACUUAUUAUGACAAUGAUGAUGUUUGUUGAGAUAAAAAUUGAUCAAAUAUUAUAAAAAAGAUUAUUAGGUAGAGUAUUUGUUAUGACUCUUGAUGCGUGGGGAAUUAAGUUGAGCUUUGAUCCCUCACAAGAAUAUUACUGCAAUAGAAGACUUGAAAUAUCUUAGAA
rnacentral:lncRNA from 1 species